rnacentral:rRNA from 3 species
AUGCAGUGUACCCGCGGCAAGACGGAAAGACCCCGUGAACCUUUACUAUAGCUUGACACUGAACAUUGAGCCUUGAUGUGUAGGAUAGGUGGGAGGCUUUGAAGUGUGGACGCCAGUCUGCAUGGAGCCGACCUUGAAAUACCACCCUUUAAUGUUUGAUGUUCUAACGUGGACCCGUUACCCGGGUUGCGGACAGUGUCUGGUGGGUAGUUUGACUGGGGCGGUCUCCUCCUAAAGAGUAACGGAGGAGCACGAAGGUUGGCUAAUCCUGGUCGGACAUCAGGAGGUUAGUGCAAUGGCAUAAGCCAGCUUGACUGCGAGCGUGACGGCGCGAGCAGGUGCGAAAGCAGGUCAUAGUGAUCCGGUGGUUCUGAAUGGAAGGGCCAUCGCUCAACGGAUAAAAGGUACUCCGGGGAUAACAGGCUGAUACCGCCCAAGAGUUCAUAUCGACGGCGGUGUUUGGCACCUCGAUGUCGGCUCAUCACAUCCUGGGGCUGAAGUAGGUCCCAAGGGUAUGGCUGUUCGCCAUUUAAAGUGGUACGCGAGCUGGGUUUAGAACGUCGUGAGACAGUUCGGUCCCUAUCUGCCGUGGGCGCUGGAGAACUGAGGGGGGCUGCUCCUAGUACGAGAGGACCGGAGUGGACGCAUCACUGGUGUUCGGGUUGUCAUGCCAAUGGCACUGCCCGGUAGCUAAAUGCGGAAGAGAUAAGUGCUGAAAGCAUCUAAGCACGAAACUUGCCCCGA